UACGUAGGGGGCUAGCGUUGUCCGGAUUUAUUGGGCGUAAAGAGCGUGUAGGCGGCCGAGUAAGUCCGGUGUGAAAACUCGAGGCUUAACCUCGAGAUGUCAUCGGAAACUAUUCGGCUAGAGUCCGGAAGAGGAGAGUGGAAUUCCAGGUGUAGCGGUGAAAUGCGCAGAUAUCAGGAAGAACACCUAUGGCGAAAGCAGCUCUCUGGGACGGUACUGACGCUGAGACGCGAAAGCGUGGGGAGCGAACAGG
rnacentral:rRNA from 1 species